rnacentral:tRNA from 1 species
GGUAAAAUGGCCGAUUAAGGUGAUAAAUUGUAAAUUUAUUUAUGAAAAUUUCUUUUACUA